CUAGAGGGGCGGCCGUUGGGGAGUAGCUUCCGGCAUAUCCCAGUCGGGAUCGCGUCAACAUACUUGCCUUAAGGGCAUGGCGCGAUCAGCGGAUUUUGUUUCCGCCUAGCGAGACCAGCAUGCUGCACACGUGGGGCCGGCCCGCGCGUGGAGCGUGCUGUCGUACGCCCGGCCGAGUUCCCGUC
rnacentral:sRNA from 1 species